CUAAUCUACCCUUGUGUGGGGAAUAACCCCUCGAAAGAGGAGCUAAUACCGCAUACGCUCUCUUAUGAUAGUAGGAGAGGAAACCUUACUUGUAAAAGAGUUGGGGCACAUGGAUGAGGCUGCGGCGGAUUAGCUAGAUGGUGGGGUAAAAGCCUACCAUGGCGACGAUCCGUAGCUGGUCUGAGAGGACGACCAGCCACACUGGGACUGAGACACGGCCCAG
rnacentral:rRNA from 1 species